rnacentral:piRNA from 1 species
UGGCCUUUAGAUUUUAGUCAGUUCCUCUGU